UACCCUUGGAAGUCAUCAGAGACCGAUCAGCCUCUGUGAAGUCUGACUUCUACAGUUUCUGCACAGUCAUUCAGGAAAUCUUCACAGGGGAAAUGCCGUGGGAUGGAUUGGAUGGCCUCGAUGUGAAAGAAAAAAUGGAGGGAGGGCAGUUUCUCUUAACUGAUGCCCGUGUCCCUGAGCCAUUUUAUGAGGUGGUCAAAAAUGGUACAGCUUUGAAAGAACGUGACCGGAGAGGCACUUUCCCUGACUUACGCUACUUACUGCGGGCAGCCCAACAGGGUGCCGCGGGAGAUUUUCCUUUGCUUUCAUCAACAGCAUCAUGUCCAAAGAAGCUUUGCAUAUGGGCAGGGCAAAUGGUGUCCACUCAAGACCCUGUCCCCAUCAU